GACAGAGGUCCCAAGCGUUAGGCGGAAUCACUGGGCUUAAAGCGUGUGUAGGCGGAUUUGUAAGUACCUUGUGAAAUCCCACGGCUCAACCGUGGAACUGCUUGGUAUACUGCUUAUCUUGGCCAUCUAGGGGCGAGCGGAACAAACGGUGGAGCGGUGAAAUGCGUAGAUAUCGUUUGGAACGCCAAUGGUGAAAACAGCUCGCUGGGGAUGUGCCGACGCUGAGACACGAAAGCCAGGGGAGCGAACGGG
rnacentral:rRNA from 1 species